UUUUCCUUUAAAUGAAAUCUUAAGAAAUCUUCUAUUGCCCACCCCACAUACAUGCACAUUAAAUGUUGUUUUUGCGUGUAGGAUAAGAUUUUGAAAAACAAUUAACUGCAGCCUUAGGAUGGAAAUUGUAAGCAACUAAUAAUGAAGAAAAAUAGGCAUGUUCAUUGGGAAUGGCUGAUAUAGGAAAUAAAAUGGUAAACCAGUAUGAAAAGAAAACAAUGUAACUCUUACUUCUUGCAAUAAAAAAAUUCAGUGAUCCUGAUUCCUUUAUAUCUCCCACUGGAAAUUAUGUAGCAUAUAUUGAACAGAAAACGUCAGUGGGCUUUAAAGGAAUUUUUCGUUCAUGUACUUUUUGUUCAUAUGGUACAUAUAACAAGGCUAACAUGACAAGA